GAUGAAGAACGUAGCGAAAUGCGAUAAGUAAUGUGAAUUGCAGAAUUCAGUGAAUCAUCGAAUCUUUGAACGCACAUUGCGCCCCUUGGUAUUCCGGGGGGCAUGCCUGUUCGAGCGUCAUUUCAACCCUCAAGCUCUGCUUGGUCUUGGGCGUCACCGGUCCCCGGUGUGCCUUAAAAUCAGUGGCGGCGCCAUCUGGCUCUAAGCGUAGUACAUACUCUCGCUACAGACGUCCGGUGGAUGCUGGCCAGCAACCCCCAAUUUAUCAAGGUUGACCUCGGAUCAGGUAGGGAUACCCGCUGAACUUAAGCAUAUCAAUAAGCGGAGGA
rnacentral:misc_RNA from 1 species